rnacentral:rRNA from 1 species
AGUGAACGCUGGCGGUAGGCCUAACACAUGCAAGUCGAACGGCAGCACAGUAAGAGCUUGCUCUUACGGGUGGCGAGUGGCGGACGGGUGAGGAAUACAUCGGAAUCUACUUUUUCGUGGGGGAUAACGUAGGGAAACUUACGCUAAUACCGCAUACGACCUACGGGUGAAAGCAGGGGAUCUUCGGACCUUGCGCGAUUGAAUGAGCCGAUGUCGGAUUAGCUAGUUGGCGGGGUAAAGGCCCACCAAGGCGACGAUCCGUAGCUGGUCUGAGAGGAUGAUCAGCCACACUGGAACUGAGACACGGUCCAGACUCCUACGAGAGGCAGCAGUGGGGAAUAUUGGACAAUGGGCGCAAGCCUGAUCAAGCCAUACCGCGUGAGUGAAGAAGGCCUUCGGGUUGUAAAGCCCUUUUGUUGGGAAAGAAAAGCAGCAGGUUAAUACCCCGCUGUUCUGACGGUACCCAAAGAAUAAGCACCGGCUAACUUCGUG